UGUGGAGACACGGAUGUGCCUAGCGGCUGU
rnacentral:piRNA from 1 species